UUUGCCUACGGGGCGCAGCAGUGAGGAAUAUUGGUCAAUGGGCGCGAGCCUGAACCAGCCAAGUCGCGUGAGGGAUGACGGUCCUACGGAUUGUAAACCUCUUUUGCCGGGGAGCAAGCGUGCGUUCGUGAACGCGCGUCGAGAGUACCCGGAGAAAAAGCAUCGGCUAACUCCGUGCCAGCAGCCGCGGUAAUACGGAGGAUGCGAGCGUUAUCCGGAUUCAUUGGGUUUAAAGGGUGCGCAGGCGGGCCUUUAAGCCGGCGGUGAAAUCGCGGGGCUCAACCCCGCC
rnacentral:rRNA from 1 species